AUAUGCGUCCUGCUGUGAUACACUAAAAAAGACCCAUAGGUCUUGUCUGUGGAAUUCUGGCCCAGAACGGACAACCUGUAUCUAAUCAUGAGGACACACAUGAGAAAAGCAAAUUGAGAGAUACUGUACAAAAUAAUUGGAGUGUACUUGUGAAGGACUGAAUAUUUGUGUCCCUCCAAAUUCAUAUGUUGAGGCUCUAACCCCCAAUGUGGCAUUUAGAGACAGGCCUCUAAGGAAGUGACUGAAGUUAAAUGAGGUCAUAAAGGUGGGGCCCUGAUCCAACAGAAUUACUGUCCUUAUAAGAAGCGUCGCCUCUCUCUCCCCCUUCUUUACCACUGCCCCCAACACAAAGAGGCCAUGUGAGCACACAGCAAGAAGGCAGCCAUCUACAGCCCAAGGGGAGAGCUCUCACCAGACACAGACCCUGCUGGAACCUUGCUCUUAAACUUCCUUCAGUCACCCAGUCUGUGGUGUUGUAUUGUGGCAGCCAGAGCAGACUAACACAAGGUGGAGUUUCUCUCGAGGAGGCUGGAAGAGUGCUGUCUGAGGCAGCUUGUUUUGGAUCUUCUUUCUAGGUGUAAUGCUGACAGCAGCAACAAUUUCAUCCAGGUGAUUGGA